rnacentral:lncRNA from 1 species
UCAUUACACCUUUCAAUUCAAGGCUGUCUUUCUUUCACAGAUGACCCAAAUAUCAAAGAUAUGACUUCAUACUUCCUUCCUGUUGACUUUCAAGAGUUUUAACCUUGAAUGGUGUAAUCACUCUGGGCAAAUACCGUCUUAGAAAGUAGAGGAAAUAUUAAGGUACAAAGAAAUCCAAGCAGGACUGGGCACAAAAUGGAAAAAGGAGAGGUCACUGGAGUUUGCCCCAUGAAAAAGGAAUUGUGGAUCUGAAACCUAAAUAACUUCAGCAAUCCACAUUUUUAGUUUCAGAAGUGUCCUAAAAGAACUGAACAGCCACCCAAGUGUCCCACAAUCCAUGGUUUCAUCAGACGUUUCUUUAAGAAAAAACAGAACUUCAAUCAAAAUCUCAAACAACAAAGAAAC